rnacentral:rRNA from 1 species
UAAUACGGAGGGUGCAAGCGUUAAUCGGAAUUACUGGGCGUAAAGCGCGCGUAGGCGGUUUGUUAAGUGAGAUGUGAAAGCCCAGGGCUUAACCUUGGAACUGCAUCUCAUACUGGCAGGCUAGAGUACGGUAGAGGGGGGUAGAAUUCCAUGUGUAUCGGUGAAAUGCGUAGAGAUGUGGAGGAAUACCAGUGGCGAAGGCGGCCCCCUGGAUCGAUACUGACGCUAAGGUGCGAAAGCGUGGGGAGCAAACAGGAUUAGAUACCCUGGUAGUCCACGCUGUAAACGAUGUCAACUAGCCGUUGGAAGGGUAAUCCUUUUAGUGGCGCAGCUAACGCACUAAGUUGACCGCCUGGGGAGUACGGUCGCAAGGUUA